AAACUCAGUUCAUACCAGCCAUUCUAGGGGUGGUGUGAGUUGUCAUCCUUAGGAAACCAUGUUGUUGUAGAAUCAACCACAUCCUUCAAAAGGACUAUGCCUGUUUAUAAGCCCAGCUGUUUCUGCCCUGUGAAACAUGCAAGGAUAUUAAUACAAAAGAGAAUAGAGCUUUAUGAUAAAAGAUGCCCAAUGAAAGACGAAUUAGGGAUAUACUGAGAAUGGGGAAGGAAAUUGUCUACUCAGAAGUUAGCAGGCAUUAAGCAAAAGAGGAGAAAUCAAUAUAGCAACAGUUUGGAUCAGACUGUCCUUUUUUUUUUUUUUUUUUUUUUUUUUUUUUUUUUUUUUUUUUUUUUUUCUGAGACAGAAUCUCACUCUGUCACCCAGGCUGGAGUGCAAUGUGUGAUCUCAGCUCACUGCAACCUCCGCCUCCCAGGUUCAAGCGAUUCUCCUUCUUCAGCCUCCCGAGUAGGUGGGAUUAUAGGUGCCUGCCACCACGCCCGGCUAUUUUUUUGUGUUUUUAGUAGAGAUGGGGUUUCACUGUAUUAGCCAGGAUGGUCUCGAUCUCCUGACCUUGUGAUUCACCCACCCUGGCCUCCCAAAGUGCUGGGAUUACAGGCGUGAGCCACUGCACUCGGCCCAGACUGUACUUUUAUAGCCAUCUGAAAUAUGUUUCCUAGCUAUAGAUAGAUUGUGUAAGGGUACAGUUGUGAGGAUAACAGAAACAUGGCAGAUUAUUUAAAAUCAUCCUGAAAGUGAUGCUUUAUCUGAUGAAAGUGAUUGUAAUCCAUAGGGAAUCGUUUCUAAGCGCGCGAGAGUUGCAGCGGCAGGCAGAGAACUACAGACGCAAAGUAAGGACCUUCCUCCCCACGGUUGCAGGAUUGUUCGGUGCUGAUGCAGAUGAUGCCAUGGCCCUUAGAUUCUCUCAACAUUCAAUUUCUCAUGUGUUGGCUUUUUCAGAUCACCCCUUCUGCAAUAAAGGCUCUUGACAACCAGCUCUUUGCUCUAACCUUGCAGUGGGAGAUGGCCGAGAGGAAGGCUUACAAGCAGCACGGGUGUGAAAUGAGGGAAAAGCGGAGAAUGCCAGAGACACACAUGAGUGAGGAGUCAGUCCAGGAACGACCGGGCCUAAAGAACCCUUUCUGGAGAGGUAGGAGCUCACUGUGAAGGCAGCUGCUUAAUUUCUGCUACACAAUCCACACACCCUGCUUCUCCUUUUGGGGGUGAGGGCUCGGGUGGGGUAAUUGUUAUGUUUCCUGGAAACAAUUCCAAGCACUUACAAAGAGAACAGUAGGACCCUAUUUAUCUCAGGUGCCCUAGCUGAAUGGCUCUUGGCUGGUCCCCUGUGAAUGGUGCAGCUCAGGCCGCUCCACCGACUGUGGACAUUACCCCACCCUGAUGUCUUGGUUACUUUUAACUGAGGAGAUGAGCCUAGAAGGCAAAUGGGCCAGCUCCCUUUUCCACCUUGACUCAGUGUGAAGGCUUUUUCUUUCAUUUGAGAAAACAACAAUAGCACUUUAGAAUGGGAGCCACAUGUUGGGAUGAGAGCAUAGAUUUUCUGGCCACGUCUUCAUGGAUCACUACUGUAGCAUGAGCUCUGCUUUAAGAAAAGAAGCAGGCUGGGUGCGGUGGCUCAUGCCUGUAAUCCCAGCAUUUUGGGAGCCUGAGGCGGGCGGAUCACAAGGUCAGGAGAUCAAGACCAUCCUGGCUAACAUGGUGAAACCCCGUCUCUACUAAAAAUACAGAAAAAAUUAGGUGGGUGUGGUGGCGGGCGCCUGUAGUCCCAGCUACUUGGGAGGCUGAGGCAGGAGAAUGGCAUGAACCCAGGAGGCAGACUUGCAGUGAGCUGAGAUCGUACCACUGCACUCCAGCCUGGGCGACAGAGCGAGAGUCCGUCUCAAAAAAAAAAAAAAAAAAAAAAAAAAAGAAGAAGUAUUUAUUUACACUUUUUGGAACUUCCUUCAUUCUUUUUGUUUGUUUAAGUUGUUUAUUGUCAACUAUAUAACUCCAUUAGUAAGUUAAAUUUCUAUGUAAUCUUACUCCUCUAACAUUUGAAGUGGAACCCUAAAACUUUCCAGUUAAUUUCUGUAGCUCUUACCUUUUCUCAUGACUGUUCAUCUUUUUAUGUCCAUUUCUGUUCAUAAGUAUUGGUAAUACCUGGCCAGGU
ensembl:lncRNA